GAUACUCUGAGACGUGAUACCGAGCCGCUUCAGGCGAAGUCAUUAAUCCCAUGCUGCCUAGAAAAGCCCAGUAGCGAGUUGACAUGGUGCCCGUACCCCAAACCAACACAGGUGGACAGGUAGAGCAUACCAAGGCGAGUGGGAUAACUAUGGUUAAGGAACUCGGCAAAUUUCCUCCGUAACUUCGGGAUAAGGAGGACCCCAGUAGCGUGACGAGACUUGCUCUCCGAGCGUGAAGGGGUGGCACAAAAUUGAGGGAAGCGACUGUUUACCAAAAACACAGCAGCGUGCUAAGCCGUAAGGCGCUGUAUACGCUGUGACUCCUGCCCGGUGCUGGAAGGUUACGGGGAUGGGUUAGUCCUUUGGGACGAAGCUCUGAACCUAAGCCCCAGUAAACGGCGGCCGUAACUAUAACGGUCCUAAGGUAGCGAAAUUCCUUGUCGGGUAAGUUCCGACCUGCACGAAUGGAGUAACGACUUCCCUACUGUCUCAACCAUAGACCCAGCGAAAUUGAAGUACGAGUAAAGAUGCUCGUUAGCUGCAGAAGGACGGAAAGACCCCGUGGACCUUUACUAUAACUUGAUGUUGUGUUUUGUCAUAUGUUGUGUAGGAUAGGUGGGAGACAAGGAAGCAUGGACGCUAGUCUGUGUGGAGUCAUCGUUGAAAUACCACCCCUGCAUAUGGUGAGGCUCUAACCUAGACCCGUUAUCCGGGUUGGGGACAGCGUCAGGCGGGUAGUUUAACUGGGGCGGUUGCCUCCUAAAGAGUAACGGAGGCGCCCAAAGGUUCCCUCAGCCUGGUUGGCAAUCAGGCGUCGAGUGCAAUGGCAAAAGGGAGCUUGACUGCGAGACCUACAAGUCGAGCAGGAGCGAAAGCUGGGCAUAGUGAUCCGGCGGUUGCGUGUGGAAGCGCCGUCGCUCAACGGAUAAAAGGUACCCCGGGGAUAACAGGCUAAUCUUGCCCAAGCGUCCAUAGCGACGGCAAGGUUUGGCGCCUCGAUGUCGGCUCAUCGCAUCCUGGGGCUGAAGCAGGUCCCAAGGGUUGGGCUGUUCGCCCAUUAAAGCGGUACGCGAGCUGGGUUCAGAACGUCGUGAGACAGUUCGGUCCCUAUCCUCUGUAGCCGUAGGUGAAUUGAGGAAAGCUGUCCCUAGUACGAGAGGACCGGGGACGGACGCAGCUCUCGUGUGCCAGUUGUCCUGCCAAGGGCAUGGCUGGUUAGCGACCUGCGGAAAGGAUAACCGCUGAAAGCAUCUAAGCGGGAAGCCUCUUCCAAGAUGAAUUCACCCACAGGGUUAACCUGGUAAGGCCCGUGGUAGACCACCACGUUGAUAGGCCGGAAGUGUAAGCGUGGCAACACGUUCAGCUGACCGGUACUAAUCGGCCGAGGGCUUGAAUUU
rnacentral:rRNA from 1 species